rnacentral:rRNA from 1 species
CGUAUAUUAAAGUUGUUGCAGUUAAAAAGCUCGUAGUUGAAAUUCUGGCUGUAUUGGGCCUUUGCUUUCAUGCGAAGGAACCAGCAGUCAUCCGCUUGCAAGUACAUGCUCUUCCUUAACCGGUAGACUGUAUAAGUAAGCAUUUUACCUUGAGAAAACAGAGUGUUCCAGGCAGGUUUUGUCCGGAAUGCAUUAGCAUGGAAUAAUAGAAUAUGACUGAGGUCGAUUUUAUUGGUUAGAGACUUUAGUAAUGAUUAAUAGGAACAAUCGGGGGCAUUGGUACUUGUCAGUCAGAGGUGAAAUUCUUGGAUUUGACAAAGACUAACUGAUGCGAAAGCGUUUGCCAAGAAUGUUUUCAUUAAUCAAGAACGAAAGUUAGGGGAUCAAAGACGAUCAGAUACCGUCCUAGUCUUAACUAUAAACUAUACCGACUCGGAUUCAGAUGAAUAUCAAAGUUCAUUUGGGACCGUAGGAGAAAUCAAAGUCUUUGGGGUUCUGGG